GCUUCCUUAGUUCAGCGGUAGAGCACUUCACUAGUAAUGAAGAGGUCAGUCGUUCGAGUCGGCUAGGAGGCA
rnacentral:tRNA from 1 species